rnacentral:rRNA from 1 species
UGGGGAAUNUUUCCGCAAUGGGCGAAAGCCUGACGGAGCAAUACCGCGUGAGGGACGAAGGCUCUUGGGUCGUAAACCUCUUUUCUCAAGGAAGAUGAUGACGGUACUUGAGGAAUAAGCAUCGGCUAACUCUGUGCCAGCAGCCGCGGUAAUACAGAGGAUGCAAGCGUUAUCCGGAAUGAUUGGGCGUAAAGCGUCCGCAGGUGGUUUUAUAAGUCUGCUGUUAAAGCGUGUGGCUCAACCACAUACAGGCAGUGGAAACUAUAAGACUAGAGUAUGUUAGGGGUAGAGGGAAUUCCCAGUGUAGCGGUGAAAUGCGUAGAGAUUGGGAAGAACACCGGUGGCGAAAGCGCUCUGCUAGGACAAUACUGACACUGAGGGACGAAAGCUAGGGGAGCGAANGGGAUUAGAUACCCCAGUAGUCANA